GAUUGAAAUUUGAUUUUUUCAAUAAAUGUUGUUUCAAUGCAUUUAUUUUGCAUUUAUUUUGAAUUUAUAUGAUGUCAUACCAAUAACAAAUUACACAUGAAGUGAUCUCUUUGGUAAAUCCAUGAUUGAAUUUGUAUUUAUUUUCUGAAGCAUUGAUUCAGAAAUAAAUGGUAGCUUUAAUUAUCAGCUGUGUAUAUUGCUGGUUAUAUUAGUGCUGACCAGCUGUAAACAUAUCCAGGGAGAGGCUGAUAAAAAUCAUGUGAUUACUCUACGUCACUUUAUCAGCCAUUUCAAAUUCUGCUGGCGCUGCAUCCAGACAAGCUAGAAGCCAUGAUGUACUUUGAUGGAAAUGAUCAACAUUUUGUUGUGUUCUUCCCUGUGGACUAAACUAUUCAUAUUAUGGCAAAAAGUUGUGUACAAUCUAAGAAUGAUGAAGACAGCUAGUGUUGUUUUGUGACAGACAAGUGAUAUUGAAGGUGAUGAAAAGAUGGUGCUGUUGAAGUAGAUGCCAUACAAAUAAUGGAUACAUUGUUUUCUCAGGAAGGUAUGUACAUGCUACAAGUGCAAAAAUUUGAAGUUAGAUGCUGUGCCACCGAAAAUGUUCAAUAAAUUUAAAGCAGUCUAUAGUUAAAUGGAAAAAAAAGAUUUAACUAAUAUGCAGUUCCACAAAAACUACCAAUAACAGUCCAGAAAGUGAGAAACUUAUUUGCUGAGUAACAUAGAAAUGGAAUUCAAGGAAGUGUACUUCAAAUUGUGCCUUUGUGAUAUUUGAUUAAUGUAUGGAACUAUACUGUUAUUGUGUCGGUGAUUUUUGGGUUUUAUUCAUGUCUCACACACAUUCAAGUGUAACAUUUAAUUAAUAGGAAGUUAGUAAUUCAUUUACUUGAAUUUAUAACUGUACUGGUGAAUUUUUAAGAUAAGUAUUCAAAAUUUUGGUAAAGAUACAUGUGAUGGAUUAUUAGUAAUAAUGUUUGCAUUGAGCAUGAUGCUGGAUAUUGUUUGUUACCAUAAUUAUGUAUUUAUUCUAUGUUACUUCUCAAGUUUCAUAACAUCACUUAAAUGUUUUUAUAUGUAUUACUUUAACAUUUUUCUGUGAUGUCACAAUAAUGCUAAGUGACAUCAAAUAAAUGCUUCAUACUGUA